rnacentral:antisense_RNA from 1 species
UGUCAUGGCGGGUUGCGCAGGGACCUCUUCGGAGGUGCCGGUUCGUAUCCCGGUCCGCCAACCUUGUGCAAUUCGCCACCCUU